CUUCACCGAACCCAGCAACAAAGGCAGCUCACGAUCCCGGCCAUACGCCGCCAGCAACGCCUGCGCCUC
rfam:Couchioplanes caeruleus subsp. caeruleus strain DSM 43634 Cont583, whole genome shotgun sequence.